UACGGGGGGGGCAAGCGUUGUUCGGAAUUACUGGGCGUAAAGGGCUCGUAGGCGGCCAACUAAGUCAGACGUGAAAUCCCUCGGCUUAACCGGGGAACUGCGUCUGAUACUGGAUGGCUUGAAUCCGGGAGAGGGAUGCGGAAUUCCAGGUGUAGCGGUGAAAUGCGCAGAUAUCAGGAAGAACACCCGUGGCGAAGGCGGCUCUCUGGGACGUGACUGACGCUGAGACGCGAAAGCGUGGGGAGCGAACAGG
rnacentral:rRNA from 1 species